AAUGACAAAAAUGUUAUCAUUUGAAUAUCUUCGUCUGAUUUUGCAACACUUUAUCCACUCAUCAACUGUCAGUUCGGAUCUGACAAAUGUGGUUUAUACCUCUGUGUUGUGUGGCCAACAAAAUUCAUCACCGUUUCAGCAGCCUUUCUGCCAUUCCUACCUAACCAACCAACACACAUAGACAUGGACCUCAAAACGAUUUUCCUGUGGACUUCCAAGUCUUUACUUUCUUCUUCGUAAUUCCUGGCCUCACAAUCUUUUUAGUAUUUGGGUAAAAGCUAGCUAGGGCAUUUUCCUUUACUGUCCCAUGUAAAAAGACCUUCAAGAUUCCGGUAUCUAAGUAUCAACUCUCUCAAGCCAUCUAAAUGUAGCGCCAUGACAGCAAAAUGAAAAAAAUGUGAUGGAAUGGCGAAUAGUAAAUAAGCAGUGGCCUGUAGGAGAUCAUCGUGGAACAUCGUGCAAAGUAUUGUUGUAUAGCCCGUCUUCGCCUCGGCCGUCGCCCCUUCUUCGCCUCGUGGUCGCGCCGUCUUCGCCUAGCCCGUCGUCCCGUCUUCGCCUCGUGGUCGCGCCGUCUUCGCC